rnacentral:rRNA from 1 species
AGCUACAGGCUUAACACAGUGCAAGUCGAGGGGUAACAGGAGAGAAGCUUGCUUUCUUGCUGACGACCGGCGCACGGGUGAGUAACGCGUAUCCAACUUCCCCUUAGUAGCGGAUAGCCCGGCGAAAGUCGGAUUAAUACGCUAUGCUCUUCGUUGAUGGCAUCUGAUGUGAAGCAAAGAUUAAUCGCUAAGGGAUGGGGAUGCGUCUGAUUAGGUAGUCGGCGGGGUAACGGCCCACCGAGCCAUCGAUCAGUAGGGGUUCUGAGAGGAAGGUCCCCCCACACUGGUACUGAGACACGGACCAGACUCCUACGGGAGGCAGCAGUGAGGAAUAUUGGUCAAUGGGCGCGAGCCUGAACCAGCCAAGUAGCGUGCAGGAUUGACUGCCCUAUGGGUUGUAAACUGCUUUUAUCAGGGAAUAAAGUGAGGCACGUGUGCCUUUUUGUAUGUACCUGAUGAAUAAGGACCGGCUAAUUCCGUGCCAGCAGCCGC